AGGAGAAAUCUGGGAGGAGAUCAAGAGGCAAGAGAGACUGAGGAACAAGAAAAGGAGAGGAGGAUGUCAGGUCCCAGCCACCCAGCCAGCAAUGGAGUACGAAAGAAAGAUAUACAGAAACAGAAAAAGGUUUUGGAGCCCAGACUCAGGUCAUCAGGCUUGGCGGCAAGUGCUGUAACCCACCGAGUCACCUCCCCGGCUCAAUACUAGAUUUUAAUAUUCAAAGGGCUCAAGACUCACAAACACAGGAGGAAUACAGCGGCACGCACUGAUAAUUGUUACCUCCCCAUCUCCAUGCACCACUCCUUCAGUGCACAUCCUGUGCGCUCGAACACUGAACUGUUUUGUGUGCACUAUGCUCUCGACCUUUACAAAUCUUACCAUUCUACUUUGAGGUCCCUGUUCAUUCAGACUCCCCUUUUCUAGUAACUGCAUGAUACUCCACCACACAGAAGCACGCCAUUGUCUAGCCACUUACUGGUGAAUAUUUGGGCUGUCGAUAAGUUCCUGAAAACACUUCCUCAGUCACCCUGGAAGAGUGACUAUUGAUGAGGUGCAGCUGGAGACCCUGGCUCGUCAGGGUGGCCCCCUCUGCCUUCAGCCUCCUCACACAGUUCCUUUUUCUCAGGCUUUGCCAGAAUGGCCAGUGCCUACACAUUUUCACGGGAGGAACUGAGGGCCAUUGCCUUCAGUACCUAAACGACAGACACCAAAUGAGGCACCACGCCAGGCUCCCUGAGCCAAUGCUCCAGCGGCACCUAGCCCGCAGCUCUAUGGUAGGGCACUUCUCUGGAAGUCAUAAAAAUAGCAUUGCUGGAAGGAUGCUAAAGAGACGGUGGUUUCUUUUUCAAUCUGUGGAAACCGAGCAAUGAAUUUCAUCAAGGCAGAACCGGUAAAAUUAAACCCGUAGUGACAAUAACCCACCUACCUGUCUGUGAACAUCCGUGGGGGAAAAGUCUCCAAAUCCUUCCCAAAUUCCACCAUUCUCCUCUUCCUCAUAAAACCGAAUCUGGAUGUCGUCUGCAAACGGUCACAUUCAGGCACGUGAUUUGCAAUGGGUGUAAGAAUGUUGAUGCACAUACUAGCAAAUGCAGGCAGCACAUAACUCUGCCUCAUGUAAAUGCAAAUGCUUUGAAAAGAAUUAGUAGCAGAUUUGCACCAUUUAAAGCUUCACAGAUCAGACUCUUCACACAUUUACUCCAGGAAGGGGAUCUACCAUUUACUCAUAGUGGUAUGAGCAACAUUACAUUUACCCAAUCCAUUAAGCUUUGUCUUAGUCAACAUAUGAACUUCUCACUUUUCCACCCUUAAACUAGUUCUCUUCUGGGAAACUUGAAGGAUGGAAGGGUAACAGAACCCAUAGGUGUAACUCAAUCCAUUAUGGAGAUGCAAACUGUAACACUUGACAUAAAUGAAGCUUCCUACACGGCAGAUGCUGUCCUAAGUGCUUUCUUAUAAAUGCUAACUCAUCUAGUCCUUAAACCAGUCCUGUGAGGUAGGUACACUAAUGCUGUCCUCAUCUGCUGUCCUCAUCUGCAGACGGGAAUCUGGGGUUUACUGGUGUGUGCACAUGCGUGGGAGUACACACGUGUAGUGCGGGCACAUCCAGAGCUCAGAGGGUAACGGGAGGUGGUAGUCUUCCACCACGUGGAUCCUGGGGACUGAACGCAAGUUGUCGGGAUGACAACAAGUGCCUUUGCUUCUGCGCCAUCUUGUCAGCCCCACAUCGUGUCUUAAGCAGGCUAUCUAAGGUUGAAUAGCUAAUAGAUGAAGGAUCAGGACGUAAACAUCACAGAUGCCCAGUCCUGGCUCUCACAUGCUUUGCAGUACCACCUCCACACGCUACCUCCUUACUCCUUUAAGCAACUGUUUAAGCGCCAUGAUGACCAUGCCUUUUUGUGAUGAAACUACGAGGGUUUUUGUUUGUUUGUUUGUUACUCUCUAGUCAUGGACUCUAGCUCUGCAGAAAUAUGACAUGUAAUUCUCAGUUCAUAUGAAGGACCACACUACUGACUGGUGAAAGUUGAUAUUGCUAUUUUAAUAUAAUUUUAGAUAUAUAGGAUGUAUAAACUAUCUCAUUGUUAUCUGACCCAGUUCUUUGCCUUUGGAUAGGUCUAUCCUGGAUUUAGCAGAACAAGACACCUGUCAAUUGCAUAGUCUGUCUGUCUCCCUUUAUCCCACCUCCAAUCCUUUUCAUUUUACGUAUGUAUGUGAUGGGGAACUACAACUGUAUUAUGACAGUAACGAUCAGUUUAUCAUGUUUUGAUUUUCAUUGUACAGUGUGGAGUAAACUCUUGGGUCACUACAAAUGCUGACCAUUUUCACAGCA